CGGCGGCGCCGUCAGUCAUGCGCGGGCUGGGCGGGGCCGCGCGUGCCGGCGUUGCCGGGUUACGGCCGCCCCGGGCAAUGGCGGCGGGGCCGCCCCGCGGUUGGUGCCUGGCGAUUUAAAGUCGUAGGAAUAGCCGGCAAAGCUGCUUAAGGCUGUGUUGAAAAUGCUGGGAGAAAAAAAGCAGUUAAUGGUGGCAAGAGACCUUUACACAGACCCCACGUUUCCGGCCAGUGAUACCUCCAUAUUUUUUAAUUAUUGUACCCCGCUUGCCCAGUUCAGAGGAGAGAUAUCUUGGUUGAGACCUAAGGACAUAUGUUCCUCUCCUCGGUUAUUUUCAAACAAUCUGCAGGAUGUGCAAGUGAAACAAGGAAUUUUGGGAGACUGUUGGUUCCUGUGUGCCUGUGUAGCUUUGCAGAAGAGCAAAUACUUACUGAACAAGGUGAUCCCUCCAGGUCAGCCCAGCUGGACAGACGAGUCCUAUCAAGGCUGCUUCACGUGCCGGGUCUGGCAGUUUGGCCACUGGGUAGAAGUGACCAUUGAUGAUCGCCUGCCUUGCCUUGGGGGCAAACUCUGCUUUUCCCAGUGUCAGACAGAGGAUUUGUUUUGGCUUCCACUACUGGAAAAAGCUUAUGCAAAAGUGCAUGGAUCUUAUGAGCAGUUGUGGGCAGGACAAGUGGCAGAUGCUUUGGUUGAUCUGACUGGAGGAAUUGCUGAAAGAUGGACCCUGAAAGGCCCUGGAAAAAAUGUGGAGAAAGGGAAGACUGGCAUGGUUUUGGAGAAGGCCAUGUUUAGAAGAUUGAUGAAUCUGAAGGAACAGUGUGUAAUAAGCUGUUCAGUCCUCAACUCCAGACAAGGUGCAAGUGAACUGGGAGAAUUUCAUGCCUUUAUUGUGAUAGACACAUUGAAUCUCUCUGAAGUGUCAGGCAAGGAAAUCUUCCUGCUACGAAUACGAAAUCCUUGGGGGAGGCGGUGCUGGAAAGGGCCUUGGUGUGAGGGUGGUCAAGGAUGGAACCAGCUAGAUCCAGUAAUUGCUUCAGAACUCCUCUCACAGAUCCAAGAAGGAGAAUUCUGGGUUGAUGAAGAGGAAUUUUUCAGGGAAUUUGAUGAGAUUACUGUGGGCUUUCCAGUCAAUGAGGAAGGACAACUUCAGAGCCUCUAUACAGAGAAAGUGUUGUAUCACUCUCAGAAUCUCUUUGGAUCCUGGGUGAGAGGCCAGUCUGCAGGUGGCUGCCGCAACAACAGCAGCUUCCCCACCAACCCCAAGUUCUGGCUGAGGGUCUGGGAGUCGAGUGAGGUGUGCAUUGCUCUGCUGCAGAAACACAGGAAAUACAGCACUGACUGGGCUGGAAGGAUUCAACAUCCAACCCGCCUAGCAGAGGAAAAUCCAUCUUUGACUGAGGGCAUACAGGGGAAGAAUUACCAGGCUGUGGGAUUACAUGUCUGGAAGGUGGAGAAGAAACGAUUUAACCUUCCAAAGACCCUCUCUGCUCCUCCAGUUGUAGGUACUGUCUGCCAUUCCUACGAUAGAGAAGUCCAUGUGUGCUGUGACCUUUCACCUGGCUUUUAUCUUGUUGUUCCCAGCACUUUUCUGAAAGAUGCAGUAGGGAAUUUCUUGCUUCGCGUAUUUUCAACGGGAAGGAUCUCUCUCAGUGAGCUAAAGCCACCACCCAUGGAUGCUGCCCUCUGUGAAGAACUCCCAGCUGGUGAAUGGGAGACAGUGCAGCUGCAUGGAUGCUGGAAGAAUGGGCUAAAUGCCGGAGGUAGCAGGAACUUCCCCUCCUUCCAUACCAAUCCCUGCUUUCCCCUCUCCAUUCCUGCAGGACCAGAGAAAAGCAGUGUGAAAGUCACCCUCCGUCAGCACUGCCUGGACAGCAAGUGUUGUCCUAUAGGUUUCCAUAUUUUCCAGGUGCCUGACAGCAGUUGGAAACCACAAACUACUUCUUUUGUACACUUGGAGCCACUGAAGGCAGUUUUACAGUGGUCAUAGCAACCAAAAUAGACAGGAAGCGCAUUCACAGCCAGGAGACACUUGGACAAGUAUUACAGGAGGUUUCCUUUACAACUGUGAUGAAAAGGUAGUGUGGAAUUCUGACACUGUCUUUUCAAGAAACAUCAGGAAGCCAAGGAGAAUGCCUCAUCUCUUGCUCUUGUCAGUUUUAAAUGGAAUAACAAGAUGCUCUUAGCCCAGCUGUUUUUCACUGGUACCAACUGCCAGGCCUGUAACGACUUCUUUGUGAAAAAUACCUCUUAAUCAUGAACACUCUGAAUAUUUGGUCUUCCCACAUUUUUAGAAGGAGCAUUGUACAGCAAAUUAUCAUGUACCUCAGUUCUUCAAAAAUACAGGUGAAGAACACGUGCAUGUUUUAACCCAAGCUAUGAUUUUGGAAGAAAACCAUAAAACUUACAUGUAAGGCCAGGUUGGAUGGAGCCCUGAUCACCCUGGUCUCAUGGAAUGUAUCCCUGCCCUUGGCAGGGGGAUUGGAACAAGAUGAUCUUUAAGGUCCCUUCCAACCAUUCUAUGAUUGCAAAAUAAUAUUUUAUUGCGGGGGGGGGGGAUCAACCUGACAGAAUAACUUCAUGUGACCAAAGGGAUGGUGAACAUAGAAGAAAAACUGGAGUAUUUUUUUUUAGGUAGAGUAUACCUCAAGAACCAUCAAAAAUAUACUGGAAUAGGAAAAGUCCAAGUUUGUAUCUGACACUGCCAGUCCUGCUACUGAGCACUUUACCUUGGGCCCUCAAUGGAACCAAGCAGAUGGUGGGUUCAAAGGAAUUUUUUUUGGUGAGUUUUUUUUUAGUGAAUGCCAGAAAUAAAAAAAGACAAGACUUGAAAGCU